CUGCUCACAUAUUUUCGACUACCACUGCCGCCAGAGUUUGCGUCUGUGUGUGGUAAGAUUUAGUUCGUCUUCUUUCUAAAUUCUUUGUAAUUACACGCCUGCACAAGCCUCCCGGGCUUCUCCGAUUGCUUGAAUGAAGAAGAAAGCCCCAAUGCUCGUGCUAUAGAGCCUGCCGUUUAGUGUUGCAGUUUGGCCUCUAUUUUUCAACGGCUGAUCUGUGUCAAAUAAACGGCCAAAUCCUUUUUUCUACACAUGUUCAUGUUCAUGUGUAAUGUAUAUGUGUAUUUGUAUAUGAUUUGUGUGUUUGUGCCUCUCAACACCUUUAGCUUGUUUUCAAUAGAAGUAAUACUCUGGAAACAAGGCUAGUCAUAGAUGCAAACAGAGAAUCGCGGCGUCAACGUGGGGACUUGCCAAUGAUGAUCCAGUCCGCAUUGUUUGAGGUGUGGUGGAGCCAAGACCCUGAUUUUUCAGGGAGAACCUACUUGGUGGAAGCUAUAAUUCACUGAUGUUAAUGGAUUUAACUGAGGCAUUGCUGAAUUAUAUUUGACAAGGUUUAGUUCAAAUUUUGUGAAUGUUUGGUAUAUUCAUCCAUGUAAAUUUAUCUCUCUCAAUAUGUUGUGGAGUGAAAUUAGAUUUCUGAUGUCAAUGAGUACCGUGCUAGUUCAAUUGUUUGAUUUAAGCGUUUUAUGUGUCAUGCUGAACUGUAGUUGUCUGUCAAAGUAUGAAGUUGAUCAUAUGUCUGAAAAACUCGGAUAUUGUGUGAUGCCAUCAACUUCUCAACUUCUCUUUUGUAUAGCUACUGAGUUUAGAGUUAAACUAUGGAACCACAUUCAAUUAUGUGAAGGUCUUAUGGUAAAUGUAAUCCUAGAGAUGCUUGUGCAAUCUCAGAUAUUGUACAUAUGCUUCCUUCCCUAGAUUCUAUCAAAUCCAGUUCAAUUAAGGUUAA